rnacentral:rRNA from 1 species
GUACGCUGGCGGCACGCCUAACACAUGCAAGUCGAACGAAGUAGUAAUACUUAGUGGCAGACGGGUGAGUAACAUGUAGGUAUCUGCCCUUUGGCCUGGAAUAACACGAGGAAACUUGUGCUAAUACCGGAUAAGUCUUUACGGAGAAAGCUUUAUGCACCAUUGGAUGAGCCUGCACUUGAUUAGUUUGUUGGUGGGGUAAUGGCCUACCAAGACUGUGAUCAAUAGCUGAUUUGAGAGGAUGAUCAGCCACAUUGGGACUGAGACACGGCCCAAACUCCUACGGGAGGCAGCAGUGGGGAAUCUUGCACAAUGGAGGAAACUCUGAUGCAGCGAUGCCGCGUGAGUGAAGAAGGCCCUUGGGUUGUAAAGCUCUUUCGUCGGGGAAGAAAAUGACUGUACC